UAAAUGAAAUUUCACUCUAUUCUGUUUUUAUAUUUUCUAAAUGCAUGUUACUUAUUUUACUGUGAACAUAUCACCCAUGCAAAUGUUUUAUUUUUAUUUUUAAUUCUUUUUUUAAUCAAAAUAUCAUAACUCGUUAUUCUGGUGAAACGACAGAAUUCUCUCUGGUGACUAGAGAUGUUCCGAUACCCCUUUUCCAUUCCCGAUACCGAUUCCAAUACCUGAGCUCAGGGUAUCGGCCGAUACCGAGUACUGAUCCGAUACCAGGGUGCAGGGCUCUGAACCGGUUCAAGGAACGAAAACGAAAACCGGAAACGAACGAAAUUUUGACCGGAACGUAACCAGAAACGGAAACUGAAUCAGAUUUAAUCGUUUUGAACAGAAACGCUCAUUUGAAAUGGCCAUUAACCGGUUGAAAACGUUAUUUCUUCGUUCUAUUUAAUAUUUUGCUUUGGCAGUCAACCAAUCACGAAUUCAAAUAGUACAGCCUAUGCAAAUAUGACGCUGACGCAUCCAACGUGAGUGAAAUGCCCGCGCUGACGCUGUAAAGUGAGAUAUGCCCGCGCUGACACGCUCAGGCUCAGCUGUCAUGUCAUCAUAGGUUAGAGCUGCCGGGAGGAGGAGUGGGGUCACGUCUCUGCUCAUUCAGCAUCUGGCCCUGCGUCAAACCGAUGGCCAGCUUCCCCAAAACAUAUCACUGACUUCACAAAACAGGCCUGUAAUGACUACCAGAGGAGCACUUCAGUGAGGCCUAACUACAGUUUCUCCAUUUAAAAUCAGCUUACGCACCAUCACUGAGCAGAAAAACAACUCUGCCCUUUAAUGAGGCCAAAGACAAGUGGAGGCUUCCUGAGCCAUGUGGGCACUUACAGAAGAACGUCAAAACGUGAACAGCAGCCUUGUGGGGAGCGGACAGACUGCCAGUUAGUCUUAAACGAUCGUUUCUCACCCUACUGAGCUUGAUGUACUGUAUCAAGGAAGUUACCAUGGUAAUGUAAGUACAGUAUGUGCUUAGCAGAUAAUCAUUAGCAUUCAAAUGGAGGCUUCAGCAGAGCUUUAGAUGUAUUAACUCA